AUAACGGCGUCGAGCGGCGGACGGGUGAGUAAUGCCUAGGAAAUUGCCCUGAUGUGGGGGAUAACCAUUGGAAACGAUGGCUAAUACCGCAUGAUGCCUACGGGCCAAAGAGGGGGACCUUCGGGCCUCUCGCGUCAGGAUAUGCCUAGGUGGGAUUAGCUAGUUGGUGAGGUAAGGGCUCACCAAGGCGACGAUCCCUAGCUGGUCUGAGAGGAUGAUCAGCCACACUGGAACUGAGACACGGUCCAGACUCCUACGGGAGGCAGCAGUGGGGAAUAUUGCACAAUGGGCGCAAGCCUGAUGCAGCCAUGCCGCGUGUGUGAAGAAGGCCUUCGGGUUGUAAAGCACUUUCAGUCGUGAGGAAGGUAGUGUAGUUAAUAGCUGCAUUAUUUGACGUUAGCGACAGAAGAAGCACCGGCUAACUCCGUGCCAGCAGCCGCGGUAAUACGGAGGGUGCGAGCGUUAAUCGGAAUUACUGGGCGUAAAGCGCAUGCAGGUGGUUUGUUAAGUCAGAUGUGAAAGCCCGGGGCUCAACCUCGGAAUUGCAUUUGAAACUGGCAGACUAGAGUACUGUAGAGGGGGGUAGAAUUUCAGGUGUAGCGGUGAAAUGCGUAGAGAUCUGAAGGAAUACCGGUGGCGAAGGCGGCCCCCUGGACAGAUACUGACACUCAGAUGCGAAAGCGUGGGGAGCAAACAGGAUUAGAUACCCUGGUAGUCCACGCCGUAAACGAUGUCUACUUGGAGGUUGUGGCCUUGAGCCGUGGCUUUCGGAGCUAACGCGUUAAGUAGACCGCCUGGGGAGUACGGUCGCAAGAUUAAAACUCAAAUGAAUUGACGGGGGCCCGCACAAGCGGUGGAGCAUGUGGUUUAAUUCGAUGCAACGCGAAGAACCUUACCUACUCUUGACAUCCAGAGAACUUUCCAGAGAUGGAUUGGUGCCUUCGGGAACUCUGAGACAGGUGCUGCAUGGCUGUCGUCAGCUCGUGUUGUGAAAUGUUGGGUUAAGUCCCGCAACGAGCGCAACCCUUAUCCUUGUUUGCCAGCGAGUAAUGUCGGGAACUCCAGGGAGACUGCCGGUGAUAAACCGGAGGAAGGUGGGGACGACGUCAAGUCAUCAUGGCCCUUACGAGUAGGGCUACACACGUGCUACAAUGGCGCAUACAGAGGGCGGCCAACUUGCGAAAGUGAGCGAAUCCCAAAAAGUGCGUCGUAGUCCCGGAUUGGAGUCUGCAACUCGACUCCAUGAAGUCGGAAUCGCUAGUAAUC
rnacentral:rRNA from 1 species